AUUGAACGCUGGCGGCAGGCCUAACACAUGCAAGUCGGGCGAGCCGCGGACGGGUGAGCAAUGUAUGGGGAUCUGCCUGAUGGCGGGGGAAAACCACUGGAAACGGGAGCUAACACCGCAAACCAUCAUAUGAACCCAUAUGGGAUUAGCUAGUAGGUAAGGUAACGGCUUACCUAGGCGACGACCUCUAGCUGGUCUGAGAGGAUGAUCAGCCACACUGGGACUGAGACACGGCCCAGACUCCUACGGGAGGCAGCAGUGGGGAAUAUUGCACAAUGGGCGCAAGCCUGAUGCAGCCAUGCCGCGUGUAUGAAGAAGGCCUUCGGGUUGUAAAGUACUUUCAGUCGGGAGGCGUUACCGACAGAAGAAGCACCGGCUAACUCCGUGCCAGCAGCCGCGGUAAUAC
rnacentral:rRNA from 1 species